GACAGAAAGACCCUAUGAAGCUUUACUGUAUCCUGGAAUUGAAUUUGGGUUUAUUUUGCGCAGUAUAGGUGGGAGGCUAAGAUCUUGUGUUUGUGGAUAUAAGUGAGCCAUCGGUGAGAUACCACUCUAAUUAAACUAGAAUUCUAAUCUUGAUGCCGUUAUCCGGCCAAGAGACAUUUUCAGGUGGGCAGUUUGACUGGGGCGGUCGCCUCCUAAAAAGUAACGGAGGCGUGCAAAGGUUUUCUCAGGCUGGUCGGAAAUCAGUCGUAGAGUAUAAAGGCAUAAGAAAGCUUGACUGCGAGAUCUACAAAUCGAGCAGAGACGAAAGUCGGCCUUAGUGAUCCGACAGUGCUGAGUGGAAAGGCUGUCGCUCAACGGAUAAAAGUUACUCUAGGGAUAACAGGCUGA
rnacentral:rRNA from 1 species